AGCUUCCGUUUCUUUUUUGAAAUUGGGGCGUUUCCAAAACUGGUCUUUACCUUUAACACACUUUCUAAUGUUACUAAUCAUAGCGAUGAUUAUGUCGUAACAAGAGAGAUGUAAUCAAUCGAACUUGAGUGUCCAAACUUUUUUUGAGGGGUUUAUAAAUAAAAAUGUGCUUUUAAUGUUGGACUUCUGGUUUAUUCUCAUCCAAAAUAUUUUGUAUUCAUCAUCCACAUUUGUUGAAACUUAAAAAUUCCUUUCAAUAAUAUUUCACUGAUCAAGUGAUGUUGAACUUUUUUUAAAUAAUGUACAAUAAAUGAGCAUGUAUUUCUUUCACAACCUUUAAUAUGCAAUGUUUAAGUCAUAACGCAUUUUAUCUAGGCAUAUUUGGAUUGAUCUCAGAUUUUAAAUUUACACAGAUAACUAAUUGUGCAUGUAUAUUUCUGAAUUAUUUUAUUAUGUAUGUAUAUGUAGAUUGAUUUUUAAAUGUAGAUAUUUCUGUUCAUUUUUCAACAGAGAUUGGUGCAAUUAGCAGUAGGUAAACUGGAAUAGGGAGGUAUGAUAGUACACUGUACAUGUUGUUUUAUGGGGGGCAGGGAUACAGUAACACCCAAAAUACCUUUAAAACAAGUUCAAAUACGAUAUGAUUUUGGAAGAAUUUGCAAUAGCAUUUGAUGCUAUCAUUCAAACCUGUAAAAUCUUAAAGACGGAGGAUCUGAAUAUUCAUAUGAUUAUGAAAAUUUCAUUUUCAAGGGAUUUCAUGUUUCCUGUCGAGGAGAAGCUAAUUUGGCUCAGAAUCUCAAACGCGAUUGUCUAUGGUUUGUAGUCGAUUUGGCUAUUGGUCUGACUAGACGAGUUCAAUGCACUAAAACUUUGGGUAGGAUUCUUAGCAUUAUUUAAAUCAAUUACAAUUUCAUUCUCUUCACUUUAGAGGAUAUUGUUAUUUAAUCAACUUUAUGUAGGAUUGGGUCACAAGGAGGGGAGGGGGGGGGGGUAGGAUAUUUUUGUCCCUUUUCUUUUUUAAGUUUCAUUCACUCGUAAAAUUAAUUACACUUUUUCUAAUACAUGUACUUUGAUAUCAUAAUGUUUUUAUCAUUAAUAAAUAUAUGGAAAUUAGCCA